UACGAAGGGUGCUAGCGUUGCUCGGAUUUGCUGGGCGUAAAGGGCGCGUAGGCGGUUCGUACAGUCAGACGUGAAAUUCCUGGGCUCAACCUGGGGGCUGCGUUUGAUACGUGCGGACUUGAGUGCGGAAGAGGGUCGUGGAAUUCCCAGUGUAGAGGUGAAAUUCGUAGAUAUUGGGAAGAACACCGGUGGCGAAGGCGGCGACCUGGUCCGAUACUGACGCUGAGGCGCGAAAGCGUGGGGAGCAAACAGG
rnacentral:rRNA from 1 species